CAGUAGCCGCGGUAGUACGUAGGGUGCAAGCGUUAAUCGGAAUUACUGGGCGUAAAGCGUGCGCAGGCGGUUAUAUAAGUCAGAUGUGAAAUUCCCGGGCUCAACCUGGGAACUGCAUUUGAUACGUACGGGCUUGAGUGGAGAAGAGGGUUGUGGAAUUUCCAGUGUAGAGGUGAAAUUCGUAGAUAUUGGAAAGAACACCGGUGGCGAAGGCGGCAACCUGGUCUUUAACUGACGCUGAGGCGCGAAAGCGUGGGGAGCAAACAGGAUUAGAUACCCGAGUAGUCCCUGUCUCUUAUAC
rnacentral:rRNA from 1 species